rnacentral:rRNA from 1 species
CUAAGCAUAUCAAUAAGCGGAGGAAAAGAAACCAACAGGGAUUGCCUCAGUAACGGCGAGUGAAGCGGCAACAGCUCAAAUUUGAAAUCUGGCCUCCGGGUCCAAUUGGUAUUUGGGAAAGAAGGUUUUGGGGGGGGCCUCUCCCAAUUUCCUGGAAACGGGACCCCUUAAAGGGGGAAAGCCCCUACCGGUGGGUGCCCUACCCCUGGUAAUCUUCCUUCAACAAUUCAAGAAUUUGGGAAAUGCUGUUCAAAAUGGGAGGUAAAAUUUCUUCUAAAGCUAAAUACCGGCCAGAGACCGAUAGCGCACAAGUAGAGUGAUCGAAAGAUGAAAAGCACUUUGAAAAGAGGGUUAAACAGCACGUGAAAUUGUUGAAAGGGAAGCGCCUGUGACCAGACUUUUUCUAGGCGGAUCAUCCGGUGUUCUUCCCCGUGCCCUUCGCCUAGUUGAGGCCCAGCAUCGGUUUUCGUAGGGAGAUAAAAGGUUCAGGAAUGUGGCUCCCCCGGGAGUGUGUAUAUACCUGGUGUAUAAUAUCCUUAUGGGGACCGAGGUACGCGCUCUUCUGCAAGGAUGCUGGCAUAAUGGUCAUCAACGACCCGUCUUGAAACACGGACCAAGGAGUCGAACAUUUAUGCGACGGGUGUUUGGGUGUUAAACCCUCACGCGUAAUGAAAGUGAACGGAGGUGAGAGCCUUUUGGUGCAUCAUCGACCGAUCCUGAUGUCUUCGGAUGGAUUUGAGUAGGAGCAUAACUGUUCGGACCCGAAAGAUGGUGAACUAUGCGUGGAUAGGGUGAAGCCAGAGGAAACUCUGGUGGAGGCUCGCAGCGGUUCUGACGUGCAAAUCGAUCGUCAAAUCUGCGCAUGGGGGCGAAAGACUAAUCGAACCAUCUAGUAGCUGGUUACCG